rnacentral:lncRNA from 1 species
UAGCAUCUGUUGCUGGUACACACGAAUAGAGAGAGAAAGAUGGACCUCUCUCCGCAUCACCGCUGCAAACCACCGCAAACUACAUCCUCCACCUUAUGAUUGAGCAAACGGAGUAUGAAUCGCAAGAACAGGCGCAUGAUAGCUAAAGAGUUAUGAUCGUUUUGACAACGAAGGAAGAGGAUAGGUUGAGCGGCGUAGCAGCGGCGAUAGUCGCUGGAAAUGUCAUGGUUGAUUUUCCGAUUGGGUGGUGGUGAGUGAAGACGGUGACAGUAGGAUUAGGGCAAGAGGAUGUGAGUUGAAGGUGAAAGUGAGAUCUGAAUUUAUUGCCCCCUUUUGAACAGCCGCAAAGACCACAACCUGAACCUUCAACCAAUGUCUUUGUUUAAGUGUUCGGUUAUGCAUCUACUUAAGAAAGAAGAAGCAAACUUUUUAAUCCAUUGCUAGGGGAGACUUAUGAAGCAGAUUAUCCAGAUAAAGGCCUUCGGGUUUUUGUGAAAAGGUAAGUCAUCACCCGAUAACUUCACUCUAAAUUUGAAUCUUGGAUCCUAGCAAUGUAAAUGGUAGACGCCAAGUUUUUUGAGAACAUCCCCGUGCUGCUCUUUAGAGUGAACAUGAAGUGCCAGAAGACGUCAACCGUAACUUAAACUGCCACACUUUAUGUAAUACACAGAACCCCGUCGCAACGCGGCGGACACUAAUAAUAGUUUUAUCACUAAAUUUAAUAUUUUGGUGUGGUUGUAUGAUUAUUACGGUUUUAGAUGCAUGGAAUCUUGACCAAUUCAAUUCAAGGUAAAAGAAAGACGUGUUAAUCAUCCAAACGGUUAAUUAUUCAGACAUUUAUAUAUUUAUACUUAAUAAAUAGGUAACUGGUUAUGUCACGUAUCAUAAUUCUAUGAGCUCAUAAUUUUUUUUUUGUUUUUCUU